GACGAACGCUGGCGGCGUGCCUAAUACAUGCAAGUAGAACGCUGAAGGAGGAGCUUGCUUCUCUGGAUGAGUUGGGAACGGGUGAGUAACGCGUAGGUAACCUGCCUGGUAGCGGGGGAUAACUAUUGGAAACGAUAGCUAAUACCGCAUAAGAGUAGAUGUCGCAUGACAUUUGCUUAAAAGGUGCAAUUGCAUCACUACCAGAUGGACCUGCGUUGUAUUAGCUAGUUGGUGAGGUAACGGCUCACCAAGGCAACGAUACAUAGCCGACCUGAGAGGGUGAUCGGCCACACUGGGACUGAGACACGGCCCAGACUCCUACGGGAGGCAGCAGUAGGGAAUCUUCGGCAAUGGACGGAAGUCUGACCGAGCAACGCCGCGUGAGUGAAGAAGGUUUUCGGAUCGUAAAGCUCUGUUGUAAGAGAAGAACGAGUGUGAGAGUGGAAAGUUCACACUGUGACGGUAUCUUACCAGAAAGGGACGGCUAACUACGUG
rnacentral:rRNA from 1 species